GAGCAUAGCUCAGUUGGUUAGAGCACACGCCUGAUAAGCGUGAGGUCGAUAGUUCGAGUCUAUUUGCUCC
rnacentral:tRNA from 1 species